GACGUAUUUCCUCCGUCCGAAAAAACUUGUAUUAAACUUGUCCCUUAAAUGGAUGUAUCUAGCACUAAUUUGGUUCUAAAUACAUCCAUUCGAUGGACAAGUUUUUUCGGAUGAAGGGAGUAUGUG
rfam:Triticum aestivum genome assembly, contig: Triticum_aestivum_CS42_TGACv1_scaffold_604434_7DL